rnacentral:rRNA from 1 species
AUAAUGCAAGUCGAACGCUUCUUUUUCCACCGGAGCUUGCUCCACCGGAAAAAGAGGAGUGGCGAACGGGUGAGUAACACGUGGGUAACCUGCCCAUCAGAAGGGGAUAACACUUGGAAACAGGUGCUAAUACCGUAUAACAAUCAAAACCGCAUGGUUUUGAUUUGAAAGGCGCUUUCGGGUGUCGCUGAUGGAUGGACCCGCGGUGCAUUAGCUAGUUGGUGAGGUAACGGCUCACCAAGGCCACGAUGCAUAGCCGACCUGAGAGGGUGAUCGGCCACAUUGGGACUGAGACACGGCCCAAACUCCUACGGGAGGCAGCAGUAGGGAAUCUUCGGCAAUGGACGAAAGUCUGACCGAGCAACGCCGCGUGAGUGAAGAAGGUUUUCGGAUCGUAAAACUCUGUUGUUAGAGAAGAACAAGGAUGAGAGUAACUGUUCAUCCCUUGACGGUAUCUAACCAGAAAGCCACGGCUAACUACGUGCCAGCAGCCGCGGUAAUACGUAGGUGGCAAGCGUUGUCCGGAUUUAUUGGGCGUAAAGCGAGCGCAGGCGGUUUCUUAAGUCUGAUGUGAAAGCCCCCGGCUCAACCGGGGAGGGUCAUUGGAAACUGGGAGACUUGAGUGCAGAAGAGGAGAGUGGAAUUCCAUGUGUAGCGGUGAAAUGC